rnacentral:rRNA from 1 species
AGAGCUCAGUAACACGUGAUGUCAACCUACCCUAAAGUCACAGAUAACCCCGGGAAACUGGGAUUAAUAGGUGAUAUGUCAUUUUUUCUGGAAGGGUUUAUGAUUUAAACGAUUGUCAAGCUUGUUUGAUUAAUUGCUUUAGGAUGGGACUGCGACCGAUCAGGUUGUUGGUGGGGUAAUGGCCUACCAAGCCGAUAACCGGUGCGGGCUUUGAGAGAAGGAGCCCGGAGAUGGACACUGAGAAAAGGGUCCAGGCCCUACGGGGCGCAGCAGGCGCGAAAACUUCGCAAUGUGCGAAAGCACGACGAGGUUAGUCCGAGUGUCAUUUGCUGAAUUUGACUAUUCAUACAUGUAAGUAGUCUAUGGAAUAAGGGGAGGGACAGUCUGGUGUCGGCCGCCACGGUAAUACCAGCUCCCCGAGUGGUUGGGACGAUUAUUGGGCCUAAAGCAUCCGUAGCCUGUCUUGUAGGUCUCAUGUUAAAUCCAUUCGCUUAACGAAUGGUCUGCAUGAGAUACCGCAUUACUAGGAGGCGGGAGACGUGAACGGUAUUCCAUGGGUAUGGGGUAAAAUCCUCUGAACCAUGGACAGACCACCAGUGGCGAAGGCGGUCACGAGACCGCUCGACGGUGAGGGAUGAAAGCUGGGGUAGCGAACCGGAUUAGAUACCCGGGUAGUCCCAGCUGUCAAACGCAUGCAAGCUAGGUGAUGGAUUAGCCAUGUGUUAAUCCAGUGCCGCAGUGGAAGCCGUUAAGCUUGCCGCCUGGGGAGUACGGUCGACAAGGCUGAACACUUAAAGGAAUUGGCGGGGGAGCAC